rnacentral:lncRNA from 1 species
GUUUUAUCACAUUGGCUAAAAAGGAUUCAAGUAAGUGGAGGAAGGGAAGAAUUUGUUAUUCACAGCGGGGAGAGCUGCCAUGACAGGUAAAACCCUCCAGCUGCAAAAGAAGCCAAGGAAAACUACCAAGGUAAGGAACUUUCCACAUGGGAAGACUAAAUAUCUAUCUAUCAUCUAUCUAAGGGACGCGGGUGGCGCUGUGGGUUAAACCACAGAGCCUAGAACUUGCUGAUCAGAAGGUCAGCGGUUCGAAUCCCCAUGACGGGGUGAGCUCCCAUUGCUCGGUCCCUGCUCCUGCCACCUAGCAGUUCGAAAGCACGUCAAAGUGCAAGUAGAUAAAUAGGUACCGCUCCGGCGGGAAGGUAAACAGCAUUUCUGUGUGCUGCUCUGGUUCACCAAAAGCGGCUUAGUCAUGCUGGCUACAUGACCCGGAAGCUGUACGCCGGCUCCCUCGGCCAAUAAAGCGAGAUUAGCGCCACAACCCCAGAGUCGGUCACGACUGGACCUAAUGGUCAGGGGUCCCUUUACCUUUACCUAUCAUCUAUCUAUCAUCUAUCUAUCUAUCAUCUAUUUAUCAUCUAUCUAUCAUCUAUCUAUCUAUCUAUCUAUCAUCUAUCUAUCUAUCUAUCUAUCAUCUAUCUAUCUAUCUAUCUAUCUAUCUAUCAUCUAUCUAUCUAUCUAUCUAUCUAUCUAUCUAUCUAUCUAUCUAUCUAUCUAUCAUCUAUCUAUCUAUCUAUCUAUCUAUCUAUCUAUCAUCUAUCUAUCUAUCAUCUAUCUAUCUAUCUAUCUAUCUAUCUAUCUAUCUAUCUAUCUAUCAUCAUCUAUCUAUCUAUCAUCUAUCUAUCUAUCUAUCUAUCUAUCUAUCAUCUAUCUAUCUAUCUAUCUAUCUAUCUAUCUAUCUAUCUAUCUAAUCUAUCACCUUUCCACUUAGAAACUAGUCAAGAGCCAGGUGAGCCACUGUCCACACUUUUCGAAACAAAAGUUCCAGUUGGGAAGAUCUGCAACUGCAUCUCAGAAGCAAGAUUCAUACAACCAGAGGAAGACAAGUGGAUGAUUGGGCCACCUUUGGUUUUGUUCUUCUCUUCACUGUGCUCUGACACAUUGAACCAAAUUUUCAUUUGUCAGCUCAUCCUACAUCUGCAUUGUUAUGUUCUCUGCCAAAUUCACACAUUUCUCUUUAUGUUAGCUGUCAUGGCAUGAAGGAUCAAAGACCAUCAAAUGCCAGGUCUCCCACUGAAAGCAGUAAGACACAGGCACACCUCUUCGACUGCAGUAAUGGUAGUUUGCUCAAUUUCAUCUGUCUCUGAAAGCAUUCAGCAGGGGGGAUAGCUAAACAGCAGUUCUUUACAGUUGAAAUGAUUCACAAACUAGAGCAAAUUGAAUGUUUGCCUCUGGCAGAUAACCUCUCUUUGCUUACUGUUCCCAGAUUUUAUGUGCAGAAGAAAGUGAGGGGAAAAGAAAAUAUUGAAAUCUUAACUGUAGCUAUCAGAACAUUUCCCUACUUUUUAUUUUUUUUGCACAUCAGACACCAUUUAUUUUGCAGGGAAAUUUAUAUUAUACUUUAUAUACUGUUUGCACAGAGGGUGGUUUUGUUUUCUUUUUGCAGUUUUUGGUCUUUCGUCAUUACAGCACCUGCAAAAUUGAGUUUCUGCUAUAGUAUAAGCCACAAAAAUGAAGUAGAGCAAAGCUUUACAUACAUAUUCCAUGGAGCUGGUAUUUUUUUAUUUUUUAUUUUGCAUAAUACCUAGGAACAUUAAGCUCGUGAUAUUACAACAGCAGGAAUAAGCUCUACUGAGGCUGCAUUCCAUCUGCCUAAGUCCCUGCAGUUCCCCAGGAGGCCUUCCAUUUUUGCUGCGUAGUUGAGGACAUAAGGCAAGUCUCCCUAGGAUAGUGAGUAUCAUUGCUGCCAGAAGUGGCCCAAAAGGAUAAUUGCAUCUUUGGGUUAUAACCGGGGGAUGUGGUGGGGUCAUCACUUUUGUGUCAUUUUGUUGUUGUUUUUCUUGGGUAGGGGCUGUCAUAUUUUUCUCUAGGUUACGUCCAGAGUGAGACUUCCAGAAGUCUGGAGCAGUAGUUUCGUGCAGGGCUGGAUUUAGGUUUGAUGAGACCCUAAGCUACUGAAGGUAAUGGGGCCCUUUAUAUGUCCAGCUGUCCUUUGUCAACAACAAAUUGCUGUCUUAGGGGUUGUUUCUAAAGGUCUGGAAGGUAUUAAUCCGUUUUGCAUUACUUCCUAUGGGAAAGCAUGCCUUGGUUUUGGAACGCUUUGGUUUUGGAACAGACUUCCGGAACGGAUUAAGUUUGAGAACCAAGGUACAGUACCACUGUAUAUAGAAAUGAGCAAACCGGUGAUAUUUUAGGGAGCAGGAUACAUCAUAGGAGUCAACACAACACAACACAACACAACACAACACAACACACUGUUGCUGUAUGUAGGUUUUAUUUUUAUUUGUUUUUUAUCUUAUAUUUUGGAAAUGUACAUUCACUUUUUUUCCUUUAAUUUUUUUGGGGGCCCCCAAGAGACUGGGGCCCUAAGCUAUAGCUUGUUUAGUGUAUAUGUAAAUCCAGCACUGAUUUCAUGCCCUGGAGUGUGAAAUCUAGCAUGAAACUGUGCCCUUCCUGGGUGGGAGACAGUGGAGAAUGGCAAAGUUUGGUGUUUUUUUAAAAAAGAAUCUGGGAUAAGAGUUGGGGUGUGAGCCACAUCCAAAAAUUUUCUUUUUAUAUCCUUUCCGUUGGCGUUGGGGGGGAUUCAUCCGCCAAGGGUCCUGGCGGGCGGCUGGGCUCCCCCUUGCACAGGCAGGCAGGUGACGCAGCCCUGUUUGGCUCGGGGCUGGGGGAACAUUCUGGUGGCAUAAGCAGCUUGUCUACCCUGGGUGCCAGCAACCUAUGCUGUACCACUGCUCCUAGUUGAUAUCCCCUGAUAUCACCCCAAACAUACCUUGUUGUAGCUUCCAAGAUUUAGGCCAGGGAUACUGUGUGUCUAGCCAAGGUCAAGUGAGGGAUGGGAGUGAGCCUGCCAUCCCUAAGAUGGUGGGGGGGGAGAGACAGAGGAGAGCAAAGUUAUACAGGGGAGAGAAGGGGGUGGUGGUUAUAUCAUAGACCUUGCCCCCUCUGCUUCACAAACAGAGAAACAAAAUGGGAAAGAGUGAGCGAACAGAGGGGAGAAAGAAGGAGAAGGAGAGACACAGAGAGGAAAGUGUUGCCCCCCACCCCACCCCACAGCUAGCACCACUCCAAAUAUAUUUGACUUCAGCCCUGUCGACCCCCAGUCCCUGAGAGAGCACCCCCCAAAAAAGAAUGCCGAUUUUGACAUAAUGAAGGUUUCCUAUUCCUGGAACACACUAACUUCAAGACAAGUCUGUAUCAAACCACAUCCUUCUUCAGUAACAGAAAAAAAAUCACCCCAAACAUACAAAUAAACAAAAACCCAUACAGUGAAGUCCAAAGAUUAUGGGCCGAUCUAAAUCCAGACACCAGC